AGUCACGCUGUAAACGAUGUCGAUUUGGAGUUGAGGGCAUGACCCUUGGGCUCCGGAGCUAACGCGUUAAAUCGACCGCUGGGGAGUACGGCCGCAAGGUUAAAACUCAAAUGAAUUGACGGGGGCCCGCACAAGCGGUGGAGCAUGUGGUUUAAUUCGAUGCAACGCGAAGAACCUUACCUGGUCUUGACAUCCAUAGAAUCUUGUAGAGAUACGAGAGUGCCUUCGGGAGCUAUGAGACAGGUGCUGCAUGGCUGUCGUCAGCUCGUGUUGUGAAAUGUUGGGUUAAGUCCCGCAACGAGCGCAACCCUUAUCCUUUGUUGCCAGCGGGUAAUGCCGGGAACUCAAAGGAAACUGCCGUUGAUAAAGCGGAGGAAGGUGGGGACGACGUCAAGUCAUCAUGGCCCUUACGACCAGGGCUACACACGUGCUACAAUGGCGUAUACAAAGGGAGGCGAAGGUGCGAACUGGAGCGGACCUCACAAAGUACGUCUAAGUCCGGAUUGGAGUCUGCAACUCGACUCCAUGAAGUCGGAAUCGCUAGUAAUCGUGAAUCAGAAUGUCACGGUGAAUACGUUCCCGGGCCUUGUACACACCGCCCGUCACACCAUGGGAGUGGGUUGCACCAGAAGUAGAUAGCUUAACCGAAAGGAGGGCGUUUACCACGGUGUGAUUCAUGACUGGGGUGAAGUCGUAACAAGGUAACCA
rnacentral:rRNA from 1 species